rnacentral:rRNA from 1 species
CCCUUAGAUGUUCUGGGCUGCACGCGCGCUACACUGACACUAUCAACGAGUGCUCCUGGUUUGAAAGGAUCGGGUAAUCUUUUGAAAUGGUGUCGUGAUGGGGAUAGAUCAUUGCAAUUAUUGAUCUUGAACGAGGAAUUCCUAGUAAAUGUGAGUCAUCAGCUCACGUUGAUUACGUCCCUGCCCUUUGUACACACCGCCCGUCGCUCCUACCGAUUGAGUGAACCGAUGAUUAGUCCGGAUUGCGAUCGACCUCGGUUAAUCGCGAGAAGUUCCGCAAAUCACUUCACUUAGAGGAAGGAGAAGUCGUAACA